CAGAGUAGGAGACUGUGCGUGAAGUGUCCGCAGGACGGGGAGUUGUCUGUGGAACGAAAGGUGCUGAUGGUACGGCACUUGCGGUACAGUCUUCGCAUCCCGCUG
rnacentral:ncRNA from 1 species